CACGCCGUAAACGAUGAGUACUAGGUGUUAGUAGUUCGAUCCUACUAGUGCCGUAGCUAACGCGUUAAGUACUCCGCCUGAGGACUACGGUCGCAAGAUUAAAACUCAAAGGAAUAGACGGGGACCCACACAAGCGGUGGAGCAUGUUGUUUAAUUCGACGACAAACGGAGAACCUUACCCAGGCUUGACAUCCAGAGAACCUGCUAGAAAUAGCGGGGUGCCGCAAGGAGCUCUGAGACAAGCGC
rnacentral:rRNA from 1 species